rnacentral:misc_RNA from 1 species
CCCACUGGAUGAUGCUAGUGAUUCAAUUCGUUGAAAAUCCCCAAUGUCACUACCAUUAUCAAGCUCAUCACGAGGCAUGCUUGAAAGAAGCACAUUUUCUGUUGUUCUAUCCCGGAAUGAUAAACGAUCAAUCACACGUGAGAAGAGCUCAAGCACCUGACAGUAGACAUGAACAAAAUCUGUGUGCAUCAUGGCUACACAACCCCAGAAGAGUUGGGGGUAGAGGAUCACCUUUUCUGGCUCCAUAUUCUCCACCAUAACUUGUAAUGUCAACAAAAUUUCCAUGAUAAAUCCCAAAACUGGGGGUACUGGAUUUCCUAGGCAUCUAUGGAGGCAUCUAAGGAGUGAUACACAAGUGUCACUUGUGACACUAGGCCGCAAUGCACGGUAGAUCUGGUGUGAGCGGCACGCAAGGUGUCUUGAUGUGCACUCCAUGGCCCAUUUGAGUGCCUCAGCACCCCAAGUUUCACGAAGAUCUCCUUGGAAGAAGAUAGCAUCAACCAUACUCUGAACAAGUGCUGACAAGAGUGCUGCACUUGGAAGCUCAGUUCUUGUAACUGUGGGGUCCUCGUUCUCCCACAUCAUGCUCCCUCGCUUUGAUUGGACAUACUUGAUCAGACUGACAACCUGCUGCUUGUUCUCUCCGUCACUGUUUUCUACCUCAUACAGUUCCAAGUGCCGGCCUGCAAGUGAGUAUAACAAAUUAACAAGCAAAUGCUGGCAGUGCUCUAGCACAAUAUCCUCUGAACUAUCCAUUGAAACAAAUGUGACAUGAAAAAGCAGAGGCAAGUGUUCACGAAAAUCUUCAUCAUUCUCAUAUGCAAUUUCUGCCAGUAGAAUUAAUGCUAUAUCUGCAUGAGUUAGUGAAUGCUG